rnacentral:lncRNA from 10 species
GUUUUAUUUCCACUUGAAUCAGAAUAAUAGGUCUGAUAAUUCUAAAUGAUACGAUUGAUGUUUACCUUAACCUUAUCAGUGUUCCUUUUUCUCCAUUGUAUAUAUGUGAAUAAUUCACUGAUAAGCAGUGAAUGUCCUGUAUUAAAGAGCCGUUCAUUGACUCGUGCUACAAGCACCCAUUGAGCACUGGACAUUGGACUCUGUGAAGCAAGUGAUAAACUGUAGACUGCCAUCAGAGAAUUAACCUUGGAGGGGAGGAAGCUGACAUGCAUCACCAGCUACAGAUUAAACAGAGCUCAAGACUCGAGAGAGAAAUGGAUGAACAAGACUGUCUUAGUCUGUUCUCAUGCUGCUAAUGAAGACAUACCCAAGACUGGGAAAUUUAUAAAGGAAAGAGGUUUAAUGGACUCACAGUUCCAUAUAGCUGGGGAGGCCUCACAAUCAUGGCGGAAGGUGAAUGAGGAGCAAAGUAACAUUUUACACGGCGGUAGGCAAGAGAGGAUGUGCAGGGGAACUCCCCUUUAUAAAACCACCAGAUCUUGUGAGACUUAUUGAUUAUCACAAGAACAGCACAGGAAAAACCUGCCUCCAUGAUUCAAUUGCCUCCCAUUGGGUCCCUCCCACAACACAUGGGGAUUACUAUAAUUCAAGGUGAGAUUUGGGUGGGGACACAGAGCUGAACCAUAUCAAAG